CCUCACAAAAACCAUUGCCACCCCAGAAUUAUUAUAAAAAUAUAAAUUUAUAUGCAGUGUUUCCGCUUAAAUGUGGACUUCAAAACAGAUUAAUGUUUGGCUACAAUGUAAUUUCGCACGUGACCACUCUGUCGCCGUCAACAUCUGCUGGACUGGUGCAGCCUGCACAAGUGAACCAAGUUGUCCAUUGCAGACUCCUCCUCCAAACCGUGACCGCAGCUGCUCAGAAGUGCCAAGCCCACUGUGGCUGUUGGAAAAAUACUGGAUACGUUGCAAACUAUUUAGGUUGAACUUCAUCAAAAACUGUUAUGGCAGGAAAGAAGGAUGUUGGACCUAUACAGACCUCAUCUACAAAGUACAUCAAGUGUGAUAAAACAAUAGCAGUUGACUGUUCAAAAAUCAGAAGUCAUAUUAAUAUGCCAACUGCAUAAUACUAAAUACCCCCCCCCCCCCCCUCACACACACACACCCUAAGUUUUACUUUAAUACUGUAUCUAUGAAGUUUAUCUUAAGAUAAGCUUCACACCAUAAACUGUGAUGAACUAAAUGAACUAUGAAUUCAACUAUUAUGAAUAGCAUAUUGUAUUUAUGGACAAUAUCAAUACAUUCGUUAUUUUAAAAACAUAGCUCACUUUCUCUACGAAAACUUUAUUGCAUUAUUAUGGCUGUCAAUUAAAUUAUAAAUGCUGUCAACAAAACUACUGUGGAUUAAUGGAUGUGUUCUUAAGUUAAUGAUAAACUUAUCAUUAGAUCAUCCAGUAGUUUUAUUGACAGCUGUACCCUUGACUUGAAGUGAGCAAGUCAGUUCAGUUCACAAUGUGCUAAAUCAGAAAUGUUUUUAGGGAAAUUAUAGAUGUGGUCAAAAGAAAGUGUUUUUCACAGAGCGUCUCUAUAACACGCAUCGUGUAUUGUUGUGUAAUUUAUACACGAAAAUUAGUUUUUAUAUUUUUUAUAUAUUCAAAUUUAUAUAUAUUUUUUAUAUUAUAUUUUAUGUAGCAUAUGAAACACAGUUUUUCACAUGCAGUUGAUAUACUAAUUGUAAUACACACGCACCCCACACCACUAUCUACCCAAAUGUAUAAUACACACGCACCCCACACCGCUACUAAACCAACCAAUGCGUAUCAUAUGCACAUAAAAACUCACUUUAGUGUAUAAAUUACACAACGAUACACAUGCGUGCUAUAAAGACGCAUUUAGUGUGAUCGGGUUGCUCGUGCAAACAGAGUAUAAUGUCAAGAAGUAAUGUGAAACGUGUGUUUCAUAAUGGUAACAAAGUGUGGUUUUUGAACAGAAGUGUAUACAGUAGUUACAAGAGUGUUAAAUAUUGCAAAUGAUCUGUGGCUUUGUUAAUUGUGUGUGUGGUUUUGCUAAUUGUGUGUAGUGUUUUGAAAAUCGUGCUUAAACAGCCCAAAAAAACUGUAACAGGGAACUGUUGUAGUAAAGGCUGCAAGGAUUUGAUCCCAUUAAUUCAAGAGAAUCAAUGAUGUCAGAUUUAUGUGCAUAACUGUAUUUGGUUUUAUGCACCUGUUAGAAAAGGCUGGGUGUAGCUAAAAAAAGCUUUUGGUAUCUACACGGCCAGGUAAUUUAUGUGUGGAGGUUUAAAUGUGCCUGCCUGAGGAAAUUGACUCCCCAACAUGAUUCCUAUGUGCAUUGACCAAGACUGAAAAUGGCAAUCGUAGAGGGUAAAAAAACACUAAGUAGAAAGGUGUGUCAUUAACCCUUACAAACUAGAAGAAACAACACGCUUGUGUAACUUGGAUCCGUGCAUUAUGGUCUUAAAGUGACAGCAGCCUAAAAUGUCUGCAGCAGUCUGUGUUUUUAAUGUUAUUCAAACAACAAAAGACAAUGAAAAAAAAAUCACUCUCUGCUAUUGACUAAAAAACUUUAGUAACUUUAAUAUGGAUUAAUCUGUAUAAAUUACUCAUACCAUGAAGACUAUCCAGUAUUACUUAUUUUGUAUUUGAUUUCUUUAUUUAGUGUCUACCUGAAAACUACUGUUAAUUGUCUUUAAUAAUGGUUUACAUUUAUAUAGGCCCCAUCCACUCUACAGCAUUUUUGUUUAAAAAAACGGAGACCUUUUGCUACGUUUGCACCUCCCGUCCAGACUAAAACGGAAAAAAACGAAGCCCUAAAACGGAGAAGGUUAGAAUCGCUGCAGCUCCGUUUUGCGU